AUCCAGCUGACGAGUCCCAAAUAGGACGAAACAUAUCUCCUGAAU
rnacentral:hammerhead_ribozyme from 1 species